rnacentral:lncRNA from 1 species
UAGAAAAUGCCAUGUGGCUGAUUUUGGCAGAUUGUAGUCAGUUCUUGUUUUGCUCGUAGUUUUUGAAUCGUAGCUCCGUUUUGAUCGUGUCCUACAUGAAACUUGCUUAGAAUCUCGUGUAGUUUCAUUUUCUCUUGCUGGUUGCAUGUGUUGAAGUGCUCGUAGCCGCCGUUGCACACAUAUUGCAUUCAUGCCAUCAUAUCUUGCGGUGCUCGUAACUUUUGAUCCGUAG